CGCGUAGGCGGUUCGUACAGUCAGACGUGAAAUUCCCGGGCUCAACCUGGGGGCUGCGUUUGAUACGUGCGGGCUUGAGUUCGGAAGAGGGUCGUGGAAUUCCCAGUGUAGAGGUGAAAUUCGUAGAUAUUGGGAAGAACACCGGUGGCGAAGGCGGCGACCUGGUCCGAUACUGACGCUGAGGCGCGAAAGCGUGGGGAGCAAACAGGAUUAGAUACCCUGGUAGUCCACGCCGUAAACGAUGUGUGCUGGAUGUUGGGCAGUCUGACUGUUCAGUGUCGUAGCUAACGCGAUAAGCACACCGCCUGGGGAGUACGGCCGCAAGGUUGAA
rnacentral:rRNA from 1 species